UAUUUGCAUGAGAUAACGUUCGCUGACAGAUUUUCGACCAUCUUUAAUAACGAAUUAUUGAUCCACGUCUCGUUUAAUUUGCGACAUUGUGCAGUGGAAAAGUAGCGGCGCAUAUUUUUCUUAUUAAAGGGUGUCUACUAUCGCCUCUAAUUUAAUUAAGCCACGAUUCAUAAAAUGGAUUCAAAGAAAAAUCCAGGACGCGGAUAAUAUGAUGUACUCAUGUAGGCGGAUUCAGCCUGAAUCGAUUUUGUGUUGACAAUCACCGUGAGCCGAAAUUUACGCACAGGACUUGAUCUCAGGAGGUUAUUUGUCUCUUGUAUGGAUAAUAGCGACCCUACAAUGCCUAACUACACUUUUCGUAGCAACCAUCGUAAUCAAUAGCAUACCUUAGUUACGCUUGUUUAUGACCGUACCUGCCAAAUAAAUGUUCAAUUAAAUUA